rnacentral:rRNA from 1 species
AUUGAACGCUGGCGGCAUGCUUUACACAUGCAAGUCGAACGGUAACAGGCCGCAAGGUGCUGACGAGUGGCGAACGGGUGAGUAAUGCAUCGGAACGUGCCCAGUCGUGGGGGAUAACGCAGCGAAAGCUGCGCUAAUACCGCCUACGAUCUAUGGAUGAAAGCGGGGGACCGUAAGGCCUCGCGCGAUUGGAGCGGCCGAUGUCAGAUUAGGAAGUUGGUGGGGUAAAGGCUCACCAAGCCGACGAUCUGUAGCUGGUCUGAGAGGACGACCAGCCACACUGGGACUGAGACACGGCCCAGACUCCUACGGGAGGCAGCAGUGGGGAAUUUUGGACAAUGGGGGCAACCCUGAUCCAGCAAUGCCGCGUGCAGGAAGAAGGCCUUCGGGUUGUAAACUGCUUUUGUACGGAACGAAACGGCUCUGGUUAAUACCUGGGGCUAAUGACGGUACCGUAAGAAUAAGCACCGGCUAACUACGUGCCAGCCGCCGCAGUAA